CUGGCUUGAAUUAAAACAAUAACUAAAGAGUUCGAAGUUUUUAAAAACUUCCUCCUAACAACCGUUGCUAUGGCAACAAUGACGUUUCAAUAUGGCGGAUAUUUUUGGUUUAAAGUAAUUUAAAAAUAGGGUACAGUCCGGUCUGCGCAUGCGCACAUAGGAGUCUCCUGCCGUGAUAUAAACACUUUAAUUAGGUUUUUAUUUCAUUUUAUGUUCUUGCAAAGACUGAUUGUUGUAUCUUGAUAAUUUCUUAUAAUGUAGAAGCAUGAAAAUAUAAAUAGUUGUCGAAUAAAGUUCAAUAUUUUAAAUAUCGAAAUGUAAACAAAGGCUUUGUUUACAUACGGACUGUACCCUACCUUUAACUCAGAAAUAAGGUAGGUG